UUAGGAAUCUUGGGCAAUGGGCGCAAGCCUGACCCAGCAACGCCGCGUGGGUGAUGAAGGCCUUCGGGUCGUAAAGCUCUUUUCCCGGGGAAGAUGAUGACGGUACCCGGGGAAUAAGCCCCGGCUAACUACGUGCCAGCAGCCGCGGUAAUACGUAGGGGGCGAGCGUUGUCCGGAUUUAUUGGGCGUAAAACGCUUGUAGGCGGCCACAUCGCGUCGGACGUGAAAUCUCCCGGCUCAACUGGGAGGGGUCGUGCGAUACGGAUGGGCUCGAGGCCGGUAGGGGGACGCGGAAUUCCCGGUGUAGUGGUGGAAUGCGUAGAUAUCGGGAGGAACACCAGUGGCGCAGGCGGCGUCCUGGACCGGCACUGACGCUGAGGAGCGAAAGCGUGGGGAGCGAUCCGGAUUAGAUACCCGGGUAGUCCACGCCGUAAACGGUGCGCACUAGGUGUCGGGGGUAGUCGACCCCUCCGGUCGCCGCAGCUAACGCAUUAAGUGCGCUGCCUGGGGAGUACGGCCGCAAGGCU
rnacentral:rRNA from 1 species